rnacentral:sRNA from 22 species
UCACAAAUUAGUGAGGGAGCUUUUUUAAGUUGUAGUCUCAAUCUAAUUAGACAGCACUUUAUCGGUAAUAACUAUAGUAAACAGUGGUUAU